rnacentral:rRNA from 1 species
AAAAAGCUCGUAGUUGGAUCUCGGCGGUCUGAGGGCGGUUCGCUUGAUUGAGUGCUACUGCUCUAUAGGCCGUGGUUUUGCCAGAGGUCUCGGGGUGCUCUUAACCGAGUGUCCUGCGAUGCUGGCAGGUUUACUUUGAAAAAAUUAGAGUGCUCAAAGCAGGCUUUUACGCCUGAAUAUUCGUGCAUGGAAUAAUAGAAUAGGAAGUCGUUUCUAUUUUGUUGGUUUUCGGAAAUCGACUUAAUGAUUAAUAGGGACAGUCGGGGGCAUUUGUAUUCAAACGACAGAGGUGAAAUUCUUGGACCGUUUGAAGACAAACUACUGCGAAAGCAUUUGCCAAGAAUGUUUUCAUUAAUCAAGAACGAAAGUUAGAGGUUCGAAGGCGAUUAGAUACCGCCCUAGUUCUAACCAUAAACGAUGCCAGCUAGCGAUCUGCCGACGUUUUCUUUGUAGACUCGGCAGGAAGCUUCCGGGAAACCAAAGCAUUUGGGUUCCAGGGGAAGUAUGGUUGCAAAGCUGAAACUUAAAGGAAUUGACGGAAGGGCACCACCAGGAGUGGAGCCUGUGGCUUAAUUUGACUCAACACGGGAAAUCUCACCAGGCCCGGACACUGGAAGGAUUGACAGAUUGAUAGCUCUU